rnacentral:misc_RNA from 1 species
CACCACCAUAUGGACCACUUCCAGGACCUCCGGGACCACCUCCGUCCCACUUCUUGCUGGAUCCUGAACCUUUUCUGUAGGAGUCUGUUUUUUCCAUCGAAAACAUAGUAACAAAAAACACGCUAAUGAAGUUGAUGAUGGACCAAAAGAAAUCAGUGAUAGUCUUCAAUCGCCAUAUAGAACGCUUCGAUUUCACCACACCUCUCUCGACGUAAG